AGUAAACCAGGCAGUCGCGGGCACAGGCCGAAAGGCCGUGUCCGAGGAAAGUCCGGGCUUCACAGAGCGAGGAUAACGGCUAACGGCCGCCGGGGGCGACCCUAGGGACAGUGCAACAGAAAAUUACCGCCGCGUAUCAUACGCGGUAAGGGUGGAAAGGCGAGGUAAGAGCUCACCAAGAUAGGGGAGACCCUAUCGUUGUGUAAACCCUAUCCGAAGCAACACCGCGGAGGGACAUAAGGCCUGCUCGGCCGUCCCGUGGAGGUGGCACCGAGCCGCUGCGGCAACGCGCGGCCAAGAUAGAUGACUGCCGAAUACAGAACCCGGCUUACAGAUUUACUCA
rnacentral:RNase_P_RNA from 1 species